AGCGGACGCUGGCGGCAGGCUUAACACAUGCGAGUCGAGCGGGCACUUUCGGGUGUCAGCGGCGGACGGGUGAGUAACGCGUGGGAACGUGCCCUCUGGUUCGGAAUAACUCAGGGAAACUUGAGCUAAUACCGGAUACGCCCUUUUGGGGAAAGGCUUGCUGCCGGAGGAUCGGCCCGCGUCUGAUUAGCUAGUUGGUGAGGUAACGGCUCACCAAGGCGACGAUCAGUAGCUGGUCUGAGAGGAUGAUCAGCCACACUGGGACUGAGACACGGCCCAGACUCCUACGGGAGGCAGCAGUGGGGAAUAUUGGACAAUGGGCGCAAGCCUGAUCCAGCCAUGCCGCGUGAGUGAUCAAGGCCUUAGGGUUGUAAAGCUCUUUUAUCCGGGACGAUAAUGACGGUACCGGAGGAAUAAGCCCCGGCUGACUUCGUG
rnacentral:rRNA from 1 species